rnacentral:rRNA from 1 species
UACAGAGGAUGCAAGCGUUAUCCGGAAUGAUUGGGCGUAAAGCGUCUGUAGGUGGCUUUUUAAGUCCGCCGUCAAAUCCCAGGGCUCAACUCUGGACAGGCGGUGGAAACUACCAAGCUGGAGUACGGUAGAGGAAGGUGGAAUUCCCGGUGUAGCAGUGAAAUGCGUAGAGAUCGGGAGGAACACCAGUGGCGAAGGCGGCCUUCUGGACCAGUACUGACGCUCAUGCACGAAAGCGUGGGGAGCAAACAGG